AUGACAACCAAGAAUAGCCGUCACGAGGUAUUUUGGAGAUCCAGUUACUCUCAUUGGACUGGAGAAGGAGUUUGAUAGGGCAUUCUGGGAAAGGAGAGGGUUUUUUUUUCCUCUUUCCUUUUUGAAUAUGGGUAUGAACAGCAGUUCUCCAGUCUUCCUCCUCCUCUGAGGAGAAACUGACUCAUCAGUGAUGAGGCAGACAGGAAGGAUUUGGGGGAUUUGCUUGGUUCUUCAUGUGAAGUUUUCAGGUGUCUUUGAUGCUACCUGGAAGGGCCUCAUGCUGCCACUGGGACAGGAAUAGGUGGCCAUCAAUCCAGAAAAUUUCAGUGUUUCACAGAUUGAUAAUGACACUACUAAUAACGUGGGAGAAUGCUCUGAAGAUGGAGGCAGACAGCAGAAUGAUGCUGCCAUAAGCUAAGAGAUAACCAAGAGCUAAAAGAAUCAAGAAAACAAUGCAAGAAGUGGACCCAGUGAGCCAUUUGGAGACUCCAGCUUGACUCCAAGCUUCUCAGGAGAGUAUGUUCCCAUGGACACCUGUUAAGAGAAGCUUUUUCUUUGAGAGGAGCCUUCUCGCCCGCCUGGUUUCAGAUCCGCAUCAGUCCCAAAUAAACACACAGGAAGCUA